rnacentral:sRNA from 18 species
UUCAAGGAGAACUAGGGUUCCGGCUCACAGGGAGUGGGCGCUGGUCCGAGAGUUCUCCGGUCCCAGGGACGGGACUACACGGAGGGAUAAAAGCCCGGGAGAC